ensembl:lncRNA
UUUUUUUUUUUUUUGCUAUUUCUUGGGGCACUCCCGUGGCAUGUGGAGAUUCCCAGGCUAGGGGUCCAAUCGGAGCUGUAGCCACCAGCCUACACCAGAGGCACAGCAACUCGGGAUCCGAGCCACGUCUGCAACCUACACCACAGCUCAGGGCAACGCCGGAUCCUUAACCCACUGAGCAAGGGCAGGGACCGAACCCACAACCUCAUGGUUCCUAGUCGGAUUCGUUAACCACUGCGCCACAACGGGAACUCCCAUGAUAGGUUAUUAUAAGACAUUGAAUAUAGUUCCCUGUGCUCCACAGCAGGUCCUUAUUUAUCUUUAUAUAUAGUAGUUGCAAGGGCUGCCUAGGGAGGGGACAUGACUUCAGCCUGGAUACUUUUUGAGCAGAGGCAAUUUCCAAAGACGGCUGUGAGCCCAGGGCUGUCCCAGCAGCCCUCCCCAUGGCGAGGAGUGGCCUUCAGUCCUGGAGGGUCCUGGGCAGCACGCCUCUGUGCCUAAGAGCCCUGGCCAGAGUCACUGACUCUUUUUCUCCAUUGAAGAGCAGAGAACAGGGCAGUGGUUGGGCUGUUGGGCUCUGGAGUCAGGCAGGGCUGGGCUCCAAAGAAGGACCUGCCCCUUACGCCUCUAAGCCCCUUCCCUGUAAACUGGGGCCACUGAUAGGAUCUCCACAUUCAGCUGCUGUAGGACUGAAUAAAACCACACACGCAGCUGGAUACAGCACUCACUCAAUAAAAGACAGUUUUGUGGUCACUAUUACAAAUCCACAAUAGGGAGUUCCCGCUGUGGUUCAGCAGGUUACAAGCCUGACUAGUAUCCAUGAGGAUGUGGGUUUGAUCCCUGGCCUCGCUCAGUGGGUUAAGGAUCCGGUGUGGUAUACGUUGCAGACAUGGCUUGGAUCCCUCAUUCCUCUGGCUGUGGCUGUGGCGUAGGCCUGCAGCUACAGCUCUGAUUCAACCCCUAGCCUGGGAACGUCCACACACUAUAGGUUUGGACCUAAAAAGGAAGCAAACAAACAAACAAACAAAUGCAUAACAGAUGUGGACACUGCUUACUAAAAGCAAAAAAACAAAAAAACAAACAAAAGAACAAAAAAAACCCCAAACCCACCAUAGAGGUGGACACUGCGUACUUCAGCUCGCAGCAGUCGUAUUUGUGGUUCUUAGUCUCUCAGGGUCUGCAGCAUACAUGCGAAUUCAUCAGAUCUUUAUUCAGGGCCUACAGUUCUAUGCAGAGACCCACAGAGGUCCCAGGAUCCAUGAGAAAGGCGGGCCCUCGUGGAGGUGAAUGGAACAAAAGAACCAACAUGCUUGUAACACAGACCCGAGAGGAAGGAACAUAUAGCUUAGCUGGGCAAGAGGACAGAGGGGGCUGCCUGGGAGUGGGGAGGUAGGGGAAGGGGAGGGCUAUUUUGGACAGAAUGAUCAGGGAAGCACCUCUGGAGACAGAAGUGGGGAUGGGAACCACGUGGUGUCUGGGGGAUGCGGUCCUGGUGGUUGGGAGCUGCUUGUCACUCGGGAAAUAGCAAAAGGGCCCCCGGCUUAGAAGGUGUGAAUGAGGAGGAGGGCCCUGGGAAUGACGAGGCAGCCAGGCUGGACCAUCCAGAGCCUCGAGCUGGGCUCUUCCUCUGGGGGACAAUGGGACAGAUGCCCCUGGCAAGUUUUUAGCAGGGGAGCAAGACGGCUGAGGUGGCACAGGAUUCCAAGACACAGGAAGAGAAGUCCAUUAAUAAAAAUCUCCCUCUGGGUAUAUGUCAGCAGAGGGAGAAGGGAGGGGAUCCCAGAGCUGUCAGGAGUCUCUCGAGAGCACCUGGCCCAGCUCCUCGCCUUCCAUCAACUCAGGGACGAAUAUCACCAGGUUGUGAAUGUGGACUCCGAGCCCAGAGGCAUCGAGAGAUCUGCUGAGGGUCCCUGGCCAGAGAGAGGCAGAAGGGGGUCGGGGCCCCUCGCUCCCCCUCUGGGAGUGCUCCUCCAGCCCAAACCAAGGAACGGAUGGGCCUUGGGGUUUGCUGCUGUUCUGGUCUCUUUUCAGGCAAACCCUAACACUAACACAGGUCCCUGUGUAAAGAAACAUUUCAGGGAGGUUUCUCAUUCACGGCAGCUGAGGUGCCAGUUAAAUGGUUACUGGGGCCUCUACCCAGACUCUGUUCCAAACACCAGCAGAGGCCAGAAAGACUCAACCUUCCCCCAGAGCCACCUCAUUCCUCUAUUCAGGAGCAUCGUGCAGGACCCAGGAGAGAAAACAGCCUGACUCUCAGGUGAGUUUGGAUACCAGAGAGUUUCCGACGUGUGGAAUAAUUAAUAAUUCACCUUAGAGGGACUCUGCUCCUACGUGUUUCAAAAGAGUGAUGGCUGCAGAAAAAGCCUCAGAAGAUUCAGGGCCAGAAGCCCAGAAGCCGCCAGCUUAAGUUCAUCUUGACCCCACCAGGGCGCAGGAAGCAAAGGCUCUCUUGUUCACGUUCUGUACACUAAGCACCACUUGCAGGCGGGGGGAGUCAAGAAUUUCCAUCCCCCCAGCCUGGGAGGGGCUAUAAUGCCAGGGACACAGCGCCACGUGGGGAGGGUCCCAGCCCCAGAGGGUGAGGAGCGGGGAGAGGAUGCGAUCAAGGCCUCAGAAUCUACCCCCCCACCACAGGGCCAGGCAGAAAGCACUGGCAGCUCCAGGAGGGGCCUGACAGGUGCAAGCAGCAGGGAGAGAAAUGUAGGUUAGGCAUCUAGGGCAGUUCUGAAGCUGGAGCCUGUCUGUCGGGAAGUCAGGCAGGGGCCAUAGGAGACAGGAAGCAGAACAGGCAAAGGACCAAGCGGGCCUCAAAGCCUCUGAUUUGGAAAAGGAGCAGAGGGAGGAGAAGAAAGAGCUGCUCCCACGAAGCAGAGAGAGGGAUGCUGGGGAGGCCGGCUGAGGAGUGACAGACACAGGGCUGAUGGGUACAGGAGCUGAGCAUCCCUUCCUACCGUGGAGAUGCAUGGAGACCCAAGACCGGGCUGCUGCCCCCGAGACUCACUAAUAAUUCCACGAAAAGUCCUCUCCACCAGAACGAAUGCCUCCCUCCCAUGCCUCCUGCGCUCCCUGCAUGGACUCCACUCUAGCACAUUUAUCCUCUCUUGACUUUUAUUUGCUGGGUUGUGCACUCCAUUCUCCCACGUAUAUUUAUGGAGCAUGAAUAGGGCACUGGGCUGGGGGCUGUGAAGGAUGCUGAGAGCUACAUGAUCAUGACUCUCUCAAGGACGGACAGCUCAGGUGCCUGGGAGCCCAAGUCCCCGCUCCAUCCCUUCCUGGCUGUGUGCCCUUGGGCGAAUUCCUCCAGCGGUCUCCAUUUCUGUUCUUGUUCUCUGGAAUGGAGGGGCUUUGGGAUGGGGAUGGAGGAUGGGGAGCCUGUAAGGGCAAACAGGGGUCACGUCAGGGCUUCUGCAUAACAUCAUAAUUGCCAUUUAUUGAGCACCUACUAGGAAGUGUCCAGAACUGUUGCAGAUGCUUUAUGGAUAUUAUUCCUAAACCUUACCAUUAUCCCGCAACGUGGGAACUGCUCUCCAUGCAUACACAUGCAACAGUCAACAGAAGUGACCUUGCAUGGUGCUUGGCACAUGGUAGGAGUGUGAAUAAACACUGUUUGUUGUUGUUGUUGUCUUGUCUUUUUAGAGCCGCACCCAUGGCAUAUGGAGGUUCCCAGGCUAGGGGUUGAAUCGGAGCUGCAGCUGGCAGCCUAGACCACAGCUGCAGCAACAUGGAUCACACCCACCCGUGUCUGCAAUCUACAACACAGAUCAUGGCAAUGCCAGAUCCUUAACCCACUGACCGAGGCCAGGGAUCGAACCCUCGUCCUCAUGGAUACUGGUAGGGUUUGUUAACCCCUGAGCCAGGACAGGAACUCCGAAUAAACACUGUUAAUUCAUCCUCUCCAUAUAUAUGCAUGUUUACUCUAUGCUAAAUGUUUCUUGGCCAGUGGUUCUCAACCCAAGGUGACCUUGCCCCUCCCUCAGGGAACAGUCAGCAAAAUCUGGAGAAGUUCUUAACUAUCACGACUUGGAAGGGGGGCCGUGCUGCUGGCAUAUAGUGGGUAGAGGCCAGGGGUGCUGCCUGACAUCUCACAAGGCACAGGGCAGCCCCCUCCACGGGGAGUUAUCUGGUCCAAACUGUCAAUAGGGCUGAGGCUAAGAAACCCUAUCCAGGCCCAGGAGAUCCCGCGCUGCAGCAAACAGACUGGGAUUCCUGGAGCUCACAUCCCAGACAGAUCGUGGACAGAUGUCAGGUUCAUGUGCAGCCGUCUGUUGGUACAAGGGGCUAAAGACUAAAAUACAGUUGGACAGGGGGUAAGAGUGAUGGGGUCACUAGGGACAGAAAGGGACAUUGAGGAGAGACCAGGGGGGCCAGGGGCGUGAGGGCUGAACCCAUAGCUCCCUGAUGUGAAGGCAGAGGCCCCAGGCUGGGCACACACACAUCUUCAGGUGAAACAGGAAGUGACUGCAGCUGGGACACAGGGAACACAGAGCCAGUGGUCGGAGAUGAGGUCGGAAAGUGACUGGGAUGGUUCAGUAAGUCGUGUGGACCUUACGGCCCCGAGGGACAGUGCACUCCUUGAGGACACAGGUCAUGCCCUCAUAUGCCACCUCUUGGUGCCAUGCACUUGCCGGAACAAAGCUGAGGAUGGUGCCAAGCUGACUUGUAUUUUGGCUCAGGGCAGGCAGUUUCCUGUAUUAUGAAAUUUGCAUAAGACAAAUUGUCCCCACUUUGUUCUGGUUGGGGGCAGGAAAUGAGUUUAAAGGUGCUUUCAGUUUUCAUUCUGUCAUUGUUAGUUGGCUGUCAUUCAUUUCAAGAGAGAGAAUACAAUGAUAAGUAUGGCUGAGGCCUGAGUCACAAGACCAAGAGCUGCUUCUGAAUGGAGUUUCUACAUUGUCUUCUGAGGCCUAAUGAGAAGACAUAUCCAUUCAUGGAUCCAACAGGUAGUUAUUAAAGACGAGCAUACAGCGGAGCUGAGGUGCUGCACAAGAGGAUCAAGCACAGAUUCUUCUCUCCAGCAACUCAUGGGGGUGGCAGAAAAAUUAAAACAAAUAUCUAGUUAGUAAUAUAAGUUACAAUGUACCAAUCAAAGAGAAUAAACAAAGAACGAUGAAGAGUAGAGGCCUAUGUAUAAGGCAGGCUAGUGUAUAACUUUCAUCUCACCUGCCAACUCUGAUCGACGGUGGUUGUCUAGAACAGUGUUAAGAAGGAUUCUGAGGUUGCAUAUGAACUCCGUGAGAAAAAGUGCUCGGCUCAGUUACUUGGGUCUGCCACGAAUAAAGAAGCCAGGUGGCAGGUGUUCCAAGUAUUUUUGCCAUCUGAGCUUAAAUGGAGAUCAAAUAAGGGGAAAUGUAGCUUUCGCAGUGAAUUAUAACCUUCCUUUCAAUGCUUAACAUAGAAAUAUAAUUGAUAUGUUACACAUUAAAGUGAAAAUGGAGAAGCAGUAAAAAACUCGAUUUCAUACUGUUGAGUAUAUAUUUAUCUCUUCAACUCUAGGAGUAUUUAAGAAAUAAGAGAAAGAGCAUGGAAUUUUUUGCUGCAAAUGAUGAACUCUAAGUAAGACUCAGCCAUGGUGUUACCACUUAAGAUCCAGGGGCCGAGCUCUGGACUGAGGGUCCCUUCCCAGCCCACCCCCCCACCUCCUCUCUGCACAGCUCCACAGGAGAGGCCGUCUUGAAGGGCCUGGCAGGAGAGCCAUGAAAUCUCUUCCGAGAACUGGAUUUGCCUGUCAAAUCCUUCUUUCCCCGGGGCCUGGCCAGACAGGCAGAGCAAGACAUCCUGCUCCUUCCUGCCCGGGGCCCUCACAAGACUGGUCAGCAACAGGUUUGGGGCCAACUUCCUAAGUCUCCUU